CACCCGACAGAUGCAUACUUACUUUCCUACUGUUUAUUAACAUCCAAACUCUUCCCUCCUGAAAGUCUUCUGCUUUGAUUUUGGUGUUCAAAGUUUGUUUUUGUUAUUUUUGAACAUAUUUCGUACCCGUACACGUAAAAUGUGGAGUAGGACGACAAAAAAUAUCAAGAACGUUGUAAGUUAUUUCAGAACUGUAAAUUUCUCAUCUCAAGUAGUCUGUCAUCAAAAAGUAUGCAUUGUUGGAAGUGGACCUGCAGGAUUUUACACUGCUCAACAUCUUCUUAAGAAUUGCCCAACCCUUGAAAUAGAUAUGUUUGAAAAGCUACCUGUGCCUUUUGGAUUGGUCAGAUAUGGGGUAGCCCCAGAUCAUCCUGAUGUGAAAAACGUGAUAAAUACAUUCACAGCUAUUGCCAAGUCUGGUAGGCUACAGUUUGUUGGAAAUGUUACAGUUGGAAAAGAUGUUACCCUAAAUGAUUUGAGAAAUGCUUAUGAUGUAGUGGUUUUGGCUUAUGGUGCUGCACAAGACAGGUGGUUAGGCAUUUCUGGAGAAAAUUUAUGUAAUGUUGUGUCUGCAAGAAAAUUUGUGGGGUGGUAUAAUGGGUUACCUGAAGAAAGCCAUCUUAAGUUUGAUUUGGAUGCUGAAACAGCUGUUAUAAUAGGACAAGGAAAUGUUGCAUUGGAUAUUGCCAGAAUACUUCUCACUCCAAUAGAUAUGUUAAAGAAAACUGAUAUUGCUCAACAUGCUUUAGAAGCUCUUAGCCAAAGUAAAAUCAAAAAUGUUAAAAUUGUCGGAAGACGAGGACCUUUGCAGGUCGCUUUUACCAUCAAGGAAUUGAGAGAAAUGAUUAAACUUCCAGGAAAUUCCUAUCGGAUUCAUCUUGAAAAUCCGGAAUUUAUCGAUGCAUGUCUUCCUAAAACCUCUAGGCCUAGAAAAAGACUCACAGAAUUGAUGCUGCAAUCUUCCAGUAUAAAGCGAUCAGAAGAGGACUCGUCAAAGCAAUGGGAGUUAAUUUUUCAUCGAACUCCGAUAAAAAUAGUCGGAGACUCAAACGCGAAUAAAGUUAACGGAUUAGUGGUAGGCAUCAAUCACUUGACGGGAGAUGACUGGGAGAAUCCUCAAGUAGAAGAUACAGGUCUUAGAGAAACUAUACCUUGUGGAAUGAUUUUAAAAAGCAUCGGAUAUAAGAGCCUUCCCUUGUCCGAUGAACUACCUUUUGACCAUGCCAAAGGGAUUAUUCGCCAAACAGAAGGAAGAGUAGAAGGAAUGCAAGGGGUAUUCUGCAGUGGAUGGGUGGCAAGCGGACCUGUUGGAGUGAUAGCAUCAACUAUGCAAAGUGGUCAUGAUGUCGGAAAGAGAAUUAUUGAAGAUUUAAAAAAUGGAAUUGUUGGAACUGGGACAAGGAAACCAGGCCGUGAUGCUAUUUUAUCCCAACUUGAAGCAAGAAAUGUUGAACCUGUAACAUUUGUAGAAUGGGAAGCCUUGGAUAACGAAGAGCGUGAACGUGGUAAAUAUCAGAAAAAACCACGCGAAAAGAUAGUUGACGUUAGAGAAAUGAUAGAUAUUGCCAAAAAGGGACAAUCAUAAGUACUGCCUUUAUUUAAUGAAGCGUAAUUUGGACAAAUGGCUUGACUAUAAUUCAUUCUUGACUUUUGUUUCACCCUUUUCAUCGAGGCAUUUUUGUUGGCUUUUGGGCAAAACAUGCUGUCGACACAAAUAGUUCUGUAAAUCCAUAUUAUCUUGUUGGUGGUUGUACCACUCUUCUAUUCUUUCUUCAUAAUCUUCUAUUAAAGAUUCACACUACAGGAAAAAAAUUGUAAAGCUUCAAUGCUGUAGCCUGUUUCGAUGUUUUCGUGGCUUUUACCAGUUUCCUUGAGUCUGUCUUCAAGUUCACCGGCAACUAUUUUACAAACUUCACAUGGAGUGGCAUACUUAACGUCUUCACCAAUGGCAAAACUAAUAAGAAUAUAAAAACUGACCAACCAAGAAUAUCUCAAAAAGAAAUACAUGAGUAAAACAAA
rnacentral:misc_RNA from 1 species